UACAGAGGGUGCAAGCGUUAAUCGGAAUGACUGGGCGUAAAGCGCGCGUAGGUGGUUUGUUAAGUUGGAUGUGAAAGCCCCGGGCUCAACCUGGGAAUGGCAUCCAAAACUGUCAGACUAGAGUAUAGUAGAGGGGGGUAGAAUUUCCGGUGUAGCGGUGAAAUGCGUAGAGAUCGGAAGGAAUACCAGUGGCGAAGGCGGCCCCCUGGACUGAUACUGACACUGAAGUGCGAAAGCGUGGGUAGCAAAC
rnacentral:rRNA from 1 species